UAAAAGUUUAAUUCUUUCUUAGAAAUUUAUUAAAUAUAUAAUUUUAUAUGUAAAUUUUUGUGUGAAUUAAAAGUAUUUUUAAAAAGUGUUAUAAUUAUAUUCGCAGUAAGUAAUUUUAUAAAUUAUAGAAAUAUUGAUUUAGUAAUAUAUUAUAUUAUUAACAAAAAUUGUGCCAGCAGUUGCGGUUAUACAGUUGAUAAAAAUAAAUAAUAUAAGUAGAUAGUUUAAUUAAUUUAUUGAAUAAAAAUUUAUAAUUUUAAGGUGAAAUUUAUUUUAUAAUAAAAAUUUAUUAAAAUAGUAAAUAUUGAAGCUAUAGAAAUUAAAAUAAAAACUAGGAUUAGAUACCCUAUUAUUUUAAUUAAUUUUAAAACAUUUAAGUAGUAAUAGUUAUAUUCUUGAAACUUAAAGAAUUUGGCGGUAUUUUAAUCUUUUCAGAGGAACCUGUUCUAUAAUCGAUAUUCCACGUUAAAUUUUACUAAAUUUAAUUAUUUGUAUAUCGUUGUCGUAAGAAUAUUUUUGAAAAAUAAUUAAUUUUCUAAAAUUGUAAUUAAAAUAAAUGUCAAAUCAAGGUGCAGUUUAUAAUUUAGAAGAAAUGGGUUACAAUAAAUUUAUUUAGACGAAAUUAUAUUUGAAAACUAUAAUGAAGGAGGAUUUGAGAGUAAAUUAAUUUUAUAAAAAUAAAUUGAUGGUAGUUCUAAAAUAUGUACAUAUUGCCCGUCGCUCUUUUUAUUUAAAAAAGAUAAGUCGUAACAUAGUAGAUGUACUGGAAAGUGUAUCUAGAAGAUC
rnacentral:ncRNA from 1 species